CCUACGGGAGGCAGCAGUGAGGAAUAUUGGUCAAUGGUCGCAAGACUGAACCAGCCAAGUAGCGUGCAGGAUGACGGCCCUAUGGGUUGUAAACUGCUUUUAUACGGGGGUAAAAUGCGUCACGUGUGAUGUUUUGUAUGUAUCGCAUGAAUAAGGAUCGGCUAACUCCGUGCCAGCAGCCGCGGUAAUACGGAGGAUCCGAGCGUUAUCCGGAUUUAUUGGGUUUAAAGGGAGCGUAGGCGGGUCGUUAAGUGUGAGGUUAAAUCCCGGGGCUCAACCCCGGCACUGCCGCUGAUACUGUCUGGCUAGAGUUCAGUUGCGGUAGGCGGAAUGUGUGGUGUAGCGGUGAAAUGCAUAGAGAUCACACAGAACACCGAUUGCGAAGGCAGCUUACCAAACUGCGACUGACGUUGAGGCACGAAAGCGUGGGUAUCAAACAGGAUUAGAUACCCUUGUAGUC
rnacentral:rRNA from 1 species